rnacentral:rRNA from 1 species
GAUGAACGCUGGCGGCGUGCCUAAUACAUGCAAGUCGAGCGAACAGACGAGGAGCUUGCUCCUCUGACGUUAGCGGCGGACGGGUGAGUAACACGUGGAUAACCUACCUAUAAGACUGGGAUAACUUCGGGAAACCGGAGCUAAUACCGGAUAAUAUAUUGAACCGCAUGGUUCAAUGGUGAAAGACGGUUUUGCUGUCACUUAUAGAUGGAUCCGCGCCGCAUUAGCUAGUUGGUAAGGUAACGGCUUACCAAGGCAACGAUGCGUAGCCGACCUGAGAGGGUGAUCGGCCACACUGGAACUGAGACACGGUCCAGACUCCUACGGGAGGCAGCAGUAGGUAAUCUUCCGCAAUGGGCGAAAGCCUGACGGAGCAACGCCGCGUGAGUGAUGAAGGUCUUCGGAUCGUAAAACUCUGUUAUUAGGGAAGAACAAAUGUGUAAGUAACUAUGCACGUCUUGACGGUACCUAAUCAGAAAGCCACGGCUAACUACGUG